GGGGAUUUAGCUCAGCGGUAGAGCGCUUGCCUAGCGAGCACAAGGCCCUGGGUUCGAUCCCCAGCUCCG
rnacentral:tRNA from 1 species